rnacentral:rRNA from 1 species
AACGAACGCUGGCGGCAGGCUUAACACAUGCAAGUCGAGCGCCCCGCAAGGGGAGCGGCAGACGGGUGAGUAACGCGUGGGAAUCUACCCAUCUCUACGGAAUAAUGCAUGGAAACGUGUGCUAAUACCGUAUACGUCCUUCGGGAGAAAGAUUGAUCGGAGAUGGAUGAGCCGGGGUUGGAUUAGCUAGUUGGUGGGGUAAAGGCCUACCAAGGCGACGAUCCAUAGCUGGUCUGAGAGGAUGAUCAGCCACACUGGGACUGAGACACGGCCCAGACUCCUACGGGAGGCAGCAGUGGGGAAUAUUGGACAAUGGGCGCAAGCCUGAUCCAGCCAUGCCGCGUGAGUGAUGAAGGCCCUAGGGUUGUAAGGCUCUUUCACCGGUGAAGAUAAUGACGGUAACCGGAGAAGAAGCCCCGGCUAACUUCGUGCCAGCAGCCGCCGUAACAC